GUACACCGUUAAAGGACACCUGUUAUCUGUACACGUAAUACUGAUACAGGCGUGUAGCAAUGUAGGGCAUCACACUUAUCUUUUUACUACCUGCACACUGACGUAACAAGACUAAGAUAUAUUCUGAUGCUUCCACCUCCACUAGACCAAAAAGAUGAAAAUUUAAUACAUUCUAGUGAACUGCAUUUCCUUACACUGGGUAGUUAUUACAGUAGUUAGUUAAAUGGCUCAAGUGGUAAUUAGCGAGAUGAAGUGUCACUUUCUCCUCCCAAACAGUGCCGAAGCGAGCAACUAUUCACUCAAUCCUUUUGUUAUUCACUUCACGCAAAUAUUUUACUGACGUAUUUUCUAAAAAAAAAAGGGUAAAUCCUAUUGUUAGGUAUGUUACCAGAGUUCUCUGUAUGUAGAAAACAUUAAUUCUAAAUAUAGAUUGUCGCCUAUUUUCCGCUGCGCCAUAGCGGCUAUGACAGUCUAACGGGUAGGCGGUGAUGACGUCUUCUGUCUAGUCCGUCUGGUGUGCACUGCAACCUAAUCUUAAUCAAUAGGGAGUCAUAUAGUGAUAAGUUAUGGCCAGAUUACCUAUGUGCAAAAAGCAAAACAAGACCUUAUAUGACACGUUGUGGUAGAUCAGGGGUGUCGCAUGCUAGACGUGGCAGCACCGCUAUCGUUAGUAAACAUGUCGACACAGACACAAUGGCACUGGAACCUGCUGCCUAGCGUUAUAUUGAUAGAAAUCCUCGCCUACCUCCCUUUGUCUGACAGAAUUAGUGCUUGUUCCACGUGCAAGGCGUGGCGCUCUGCUCUGUUCCACCCAAGCUUUUGGCGCAGGAUUGAGCUGGUGUUUGUGGCGGGCGAGUGGCGGCGGCUGGAGCGGUCAAGGUUUGUGGCCUCUUGGGCUGCUAGGAAACUACGGUCUUGUGUCAUUCACUUUGAGACGGUCAACACCAACUGCCUGGUGGAAGUCGAUCACGUGCUUCUCAAGAUCACUAGGAACCCACAAGUGGAAGAACUUAUACUACUCCCAAGCCACUGCCACACCUUCACCAAAGGCCAUGACCGACCUUACUACUUACGUCACAACAACAAUAACAACAAUAACAACAAAAAUAAUGCCAGUCAUCCACGGUGUCUUCCCUGUUCAAGAUCAUCCUACCAAUUCAUUGAAAGUGCCCAGGAGUCCCUGCAGAGCAUCAUCGGCAACAGCAGAAAUUUGCGCACCCUUGUUCUGGGCUGCAUCCAGGAUCUGACAGACCAGGCAGAUAUAUUUCUUCCUCUCCUGGCACAUCACCAGUUCAAUUCAAUCUCCACUCUUGGGCUGGCCUCAGUGAAGUAUGACCCAAACUCCUAUGCCCUGUUGGACAUACCACCGGACAACUUUGCCUCCUUCACAACUUUACAGGUAUUAACAUUAGAUUAUGACUACAUGAGUGACCGGCUCCUGGGUGUGCUGGCGACACCCUAUACCUGUCCCCUGCGGCGCCUGGUGCUACAUGUCCAUGGCAUUGACCAGACCCACCAGGGCACCUCAGAGUACAUGUGGUAUUGCUUCAAGCAGCAGCAUCCUCAGUGCUCACUGGUGGUUACUCUGAUGCACUCCUAUGAUGGGGUGGAACAGCUGGGAUCAGGUCUGCUGCACCCUUCCAUGCCCCUCACCCACUUCAGGGCCUUCUUCUGUGAAUGGAUCAACAUCGCAGCACUGCGUUUGAUGAGUAACUGGUACAGUGAGACAUUGCGGCACCUGAUGUGGGUGGACUCCCUGGACCACAGUGGCUGGGGAAUGCUGACUGAAGGCCGAGAUGAGGACCAAGAAACUCCAGAUCCUCUUGUCAUGCUGGCCUGGAAGUGCAAGCACCUAGAACAUCUCACAUUGUUUGGCUACGGAUAUGGUGGCAGCGACAUCGUGGCCAUUGCAAGGCUCCGAGGUCCUGGGCUGAAGAAGCUGUGGAUCCCAGAAGACUGUCUGGAGGCAGAUGAGUCCCAUGAACUAGCUAAUGAGGAGGAUGUUGACAACAUUGCUGAGGACGUUUCUGCUGGUUUGGGAAGGACUUGGCGACCACUAACACUCUCGGAGCUGCAUCCCUGUGUACGCACAGCUAACAGUUCGGAUACUGACCAGUAUAUUCUACCAAUUGUUCUCUCGGACACUAUAUUGAGUUGAGAACACAAAGAAGCCACCAAACCCUGCAAAGGGAAGUAGCCAAGGCAAGGUGCCAUGUGCACACACAUCUGAAUAACAAAGACAAAUACAGGGCCACCAAACUAACCUGGUGCCUCCACAGAAGCUCUUGAACAAAAGCACAAAUGUUGGCCUGGACUACAUAACUCUUCCUAUACAUCCUAACUUUUCACUCAGUAAGAAGGUGCAGGUAAUGUGUGAAGCAAUUGGAAUGACCAAUGAAAAAUCUUGGGAAAGAUUCUGUAAUCCUUAACUUUUCACAAAGUACUGCACCUGCAUUCUUGUUUUUCUAUUGUAUGGUUAGGUUUCCUCUCUAUGAUAUGAACUAGCAGAACUCAAUAUGUGAUAGUAAACAAUACUGGGGACAUGCCCAUUUAUUUUGUAAGGGUCAUGGCUAUAUCUGUAGGAUAGAAUUUCAGAGGAUACCCCCAUCUAAUAUAUUUUUACUGGUAUAUAAUUUCCUUUGAGGUACUUGGGUGGCCUUUGUGUUUGCUAUAAAAUCAAUCUUCAGUUGUAUUGUCAUCUUAACAUUGGGCAGGAUGACUUGGCCUGUGUCUGUAUGCAGACCUCACUUCCUUCAGGUCUUUACCAUCAGUGAUGCCAUAUUAGGUUAUCAUCUUUUGAGGUACCUAGCUUUCUUUACAUUAUAUGAAGUAGUUUAUCUAUACACUUUUAUGUUGAUGUGUUAUACAGAUUGAUUAUCAAAGAAUUAUUCUAUUUUUCAUAUAUUGUUUGUCUAUUUCUAGAUGCUAACAUACUUCUUACAUAUGUGUCAGUUAAAGUUUUUAUUUUGCAUUAUCUUGAAUACUAUAACUAGAAUUUUCAACUAGCUACUUAACUUUACUACUUUUUAUGUAAGACCAUCUAUGGGGUACUUUGAGGCAUUUUGAUCACCUGGCUUUACCACUCUCACAAGGUGAGGCAUCUCCCCUCACCAGGUAUGUUCCCCCCCUCCCCCCCAACCAGCCACAUGCUGUGGCUACCACCACUCUUCUGGUGAAGACAGUCACCUAAGAGAUGUAUGGUGUCUUAUAUCCAAAGGUAGAUGAAAUCAUUAUAUCCCUUGAGCCACCAGGUCAGUUUUUUGUAUACUACUUUUUUUUUUUUUUUUUUUUUUCUCUCAUUCUGGAACUUAUUUUUUUAAAAGCUGUCACAUGAAUGGCCAAUGUUUUUUUCAAAAAUGGAGACAAGUACAUCCUAUCAUAAUUCCUAUUCUUAUAUAUCUGUAUCAUAUUUAGUUUUAAACUUUGUUAGGUAUGGAUUAUUGGUUUUAUUUCUAGAGAAGUCAAUUAGAGAUUUAUUUUUCCUUAUUUUGAAUUGAUAUUUUAAAAGUAUUAUUGUGAUUUGAAAUGCACAAAUAUAUUAUUUGUUUUCUAAAGUGAACCUCAGCAAGGUAAGAAGGGCUUUACCUGCAUUAGGAACUAAUGAUUCCACUACAUAAGUAAGUGGCAAUUGAUCAUCUCCAUGAUCCAUCUUGUUUCUGUGAUACUGUUCUUGCAACAUGUUAUAGCAUGUUGCAGCACUCAAUGUGAAGUAGACUAUUAAUUGUGUAAAGCACUAAGGACAUGGACCAAAAGAUUCCACACAAGCAGAACAAAACUAUUGGAAUGUUGGCAUAUCAUUUGAUUUUGUAUGAUCAUUAUAGGUUUGUAAUUAUAUCAUUAGGUGUUACAGUGUAAAAAAGUGUGUUCUUAUGGUUUUGAAUUGCUUCAGAGUAAUGCUAACACUUUUUAAAUAUAUACACUAUGCCAAUCAGAUGUUGGCUCAGUGUUUCUGUGUAAUAUUUAUUGAAUGUGAAAAUGUUGGUAUUGCUCACUAAAAUUUUAGACACAUCAAACAAAAAUAGUCAACACAUUACUUGUCACCUAUCAUCCAGCCUCUCCAGCCUCCAAAGUAAGACCAAGUUAGCUUGGGCAUGCACUCUUUCAUGCUACUGACUGUACCAAAUGUACCUUUACCAUGAGUUAUGCCACAAAGGUGCUUUAUGAGCCUUUAUAAAGUUACAAUUAUUAGCAUGUAGCUUAUAAAAUAGCAGGAAAGAGAAUUGUCUUUUUGUGUAUGCAGUAAGGUGAGCUCCUUCGUAAGUGGGGAUUGCCUCUCAUAUUUGGAAUCAAUCAGAAUCCUACAUUAGCCAAGAUCACAGCUGCAACAUUCACCUUACUUCAUAGUGACUGGACAUUGUCUGAUAUGUAAGCUGAGUCACACUUAGACAUGUCAUUAAACUGUGUGGCUGAGACCAUCUUGAGAAAUAUACUUGAGAUACAUGGGUAUCCAUGUAUAUUUCAAAAACUGGCUGAAGAAGUAACAGUUGAAAACAUCCUAGAGUGGUGUGGUAUUAUAAAGUAUGCAGGCCCUUAGCCUUUCUGAUUAGUAUCAAUAGUUUACUAUUUUCUCCCUCCUUGUGCAUGGUUUCUUCACCUUUUAUUGUUCGGAACAUCCCUGACUGGCCCUUCCCUUUCUUUCUCUUUCCAUUAUUAUAAUGUUGGCAAUAUUGAGUCAAUUUAUUCAGUCUUUUUUCUUAAAACAAGUGCUUCAAACUUCUUAAUCUAUAUUUAAUUUUUGUUUUUUUCUAUUUCUCUUCAACUCAAUGUAUAAGUAAUUAAUAGUCUGUGUUCAAUUUCCUUUAAAAUUUUCUGAUGAUCAGAUCAUACUCACCAUAACUUAUCUCUAUAUUUCCUCAUCAUUAGUAUUAAAUGCAUGUUUUUAUUUAUCAAAUUUGUUUCCUCCUUAAACAUUAUUUAUCUUUCUGGUAAUGUUAUGCACCAUCACUGAGAAUUUUGUUUUGUAAUACCUAUUUUUCACUCCCCUCAUAAUUCAGUGUGUGUGUGUGUGUGUGUGUGUGUGUGUGUGUGUGUGUGUGUGUGUAUUUACCUAUUUGUAUUUACCUAUUUGUGUAUUACAGGGCCCGAGCUAAGCUCUCUGUGUCCUGUCUCCUUGUCCAUU
rnacentral:misc_RNA from 1 species